rnacentral:rRNA from 1 species
AUGUCCGUUUUUCGCCUACCGAAGUCUAUCCUAGUUAAGCUAGACGCCAUCCGGAGAGCUUUUUUCUGGUCCAACGAAGAAACUUGCAUGGGUGCAAAGUGUCUGGUCGCGUGGAAAAACGUUUGCAGGCCUAAAGAACUGGGUGGUCUAGGCAUUAAAAAUCUUGAAAUUCAGAACCGCUGCCUACUUAUGAAAUUUUCCUUCAAAAUUUUGCAACACCCAAACAUCCCCUGGACCCAGUGGUAUCAUCAACAAUACCCACUUGGGAUUGCAACAAAAACCCCUAGGCCUUCUUUCCUUUGGAAGAUUAUAAACAAAAACCUGCCUCUCCUAAUUGAGCACUCCUUCGUGAUUACCUACAACGGCCUCUCCACUUUAUUUUGGCUAGAUAAAUGGCUUCUUGACUCACCUCUACAAAAAGCUUUCCCCCACCUAUACUCCCACUCCAUAGAUGACAAGGUUCUAGUGGCUACAGUUUGGCAAACCAGCUUAUUAUCGAACCUGCGGAACCGUCUUACUAAUGCUGCUGCUCGAGAGUUGGACUAUCUGUUGUUGUUGUUGUUGUUGUUGUUGCAGGAUUUCCAGCAGGUCGACCGUCCAGACAAGCGGUCCCUCACGCAUGGGCUUGCUUUCUCUGCCAAGCACGCUUACUCUUCCAUUGUUGCUGAUGACUCCUUCGAUCCCCACCAUGAUUUUGUUUGGGCCUCUAAGGUUCCGAUCAAAGUCAAGAUUUUCGCUUGGCUUCUCCUCCGCGAUCGGCUAAAUACGAAGGCCAACAUGUUUCACAAAAAUGUGGCUCAAUCCGCAGUGUGCCCUCGAUGUCAAGACCCAUAUGAGGAUGCUCUUCACCUCAUCUCCACCUGCUCCUAUGCUACACAAGUUUGGUCCAGCAUGGGUCUGUUUGCUCCGACAUCUCUCACUGCUCUUCACCAACACCCACCGAUUCAGGGCCUCAACCCCAACAUCUGGCCAUCGGUGGCCCUCACCAUAACUUGGAAGCUCUAG